UGGGGAAUAUUGCACAAUGGGCGCAAGCCUGAUGCAGCCAUGCCGCGUGUAUGAAGAAGGCCUUCGGGUUGUAAAGUACUUUCAGCGGGGAGGAAGGGAGUAAAGUUAAUACCUUUGCUCAUUGACGUUACCCGCAGAAGAAGCACCGGCUAACUCCGUGCCAGCAGCCGCGGUAAUACGGAGGGUGCAAGCGUUAAUCGGAAUUACUGGGCGUAAAGCGCACGCAGGCGGUUUGUUAAGUCAGAUGUGAAAUCCCCGGGCUCAACCUGGGAACUGCAUCUGAUACUGGCAAGCUUGAGUCUCGUAGAGGGGGGUAGAAUUCCAGGUGUAGCGGUGAAAUGCGUAGAGAUCUGGAGGAAUACCGGUGGCGAAGGCGGUCCCCUGGACGAAGACUGACGCUCAGGUGCGAAAGCGUGGGGAGCAAACAGG
rnacentral:rRNA from 2 species